rnacentral:ncRNA from 1 species
AUGCUGGUUCCUGCCACCUUGGCAGGCGAAGAGGGAAUGCGACAGGGCGAAAGCGACGACAUGUCGCCCCCACCCGAAGCGCAGCCGCCCCCGCGACCGUGACCGGAGAGGUUCGAUCCACUGGCCGCCCUAUGGCCGGGAAGGACGCAACCGGGGGGCCGCCCGCCCCGCUCCGCAAGCCGGGAGACCUGCCAGCGAAGGU